rnacentral:rRNA from 1 species
CCUACGGGUGGCAGCAGUGAGGAAUAUUGGUCAAUGGCCGGAAGGCUGAACCAGCCAUGCAGCGUGAAGGUCAGUGCCCUAUGGGCGUUAAACUUCUUUUGUGCGGGAGCAAUAAUGGUCACGUGUGGCCAGACGAGAGUACCGUACGAAUAAGCAUCGGCUAACUCCGUGCCAGCAGCCGCGGUAAUACGGGGGAUGCAAGCGUUAUCCGGAUUUAUUGGGGUUAAAGGGUGCGUAGGCUGUGAGGUAAGUCAGCGGUGAAAUGCCCCCGCUCAACGGGGUGAAGUGCCAUUGUUACUGCCUUGCUGGAAGGCGGAUGCCGUGGGAGGAAUGUGUGGUGUAGCGGUGAAAUGCAUAGAUAUCACACAGAACACCGAUUGUGAAGGCAUCUCACGAAUCCGCGAUUGACGCUGAUGCACGAAAGCGUGGGUAUCAAACAGGAUUAGAUACCCGUGUAGUC